ensembl:lncRNA
UUCCCUUCUUCCUUUUCCCUUUUUCCCUUCUUUCCUUUUUCCCUUUUUCCCUUCUUCCCCUUUUCCCUUCUUCCCUUUCCCUUUUUCCUUUUUCCCUUUUUCCCUUCUUCCCUUUCCCUUUUUCCUUUUCCCUUCUUCCCUUUACCUUUCCCUUUCAUUCUUUUUUCUUUUCAUUCUUCUACCAGUUCCACCAUCAAAGACAAAACUCUCUUAUUCUCCUCCACAUCUUGCUAGAAAAAGAGGAGUCUCAAGUUGUAACUGAGUAAUUUUCACCUCAAACAGACUUACCUGGCCCUUACCUCAACUGCUCCAGGGCCAGAACCACCUUGAGGGGCACUGGGGAGACGGGGUUGCCCAAGAAAUACUUCUUCAGCAAGUUCUGCAAGUCCCAGAGAGACACUGUCAAGGUGGGCAAGGGGCACGCAAGAGCUCUUCCGCCCGGCCCUGAGACAGACACAACUGCCACACACUGGCCCCAUCACUCCCACAUUUCCCACGGAAGCACUGCAGGAUGCAGCAACUCCAAAGCUGGUGUACAUAGCCCACUGCCCUGCCACUGCCUGCCAGCACCCAAGGUCCCCACCAGCUGGAGACGUGUGGCUGAGGAAGACCUGUAUGCCUCCAGGGAAGCAAGCCUCAUGGCACAGCCCAGAACUCCGCUGCAGACAGCCCUGGCUCUAGGCACUCAUUAUCAGGAUCUCCAGCAGCGUGCCCUUCAAGGAGGGGUUAAACCAGACAGAGUCACCGACAGCUUGGAAGGCAGAGCUGAAGACAGUGAUGCUCUGCACCAGUGUGAGGUUGUUCUGCCACUCCUGAGACCCAAGAGAGAAGAACAUUCUUUGAACUGUGGGAAGGGCCAAGGGCUGCAAGGGGGACAUGUGGAGACAACACUAAGGGAAGGGCUUGGAUCUUCAUCAGGACACAAAACAUUCCCCAAGGGACCUUUGGAAAGAGAAGGGCCAUCUCAGCAUCCCCCACAUGGAGGGGCUGCAGCUGGGUGAUCAGACACCUUGGCAUGCUUCAAGCUCUCACCCAGCAGCUGCAGCUGUAGAGCAUCAGGAUGCUGCCCAUGAUGUCUCCCUCCAGGUGGGCGAGCAGCUGUUCCUUGGAGGCACGCAGUGCUGAGCUGCCAUGGGCGAGGAUGAGAGCGCUGCGUGUGGCCUGAGCUCUCACACUGUCCAGCUCCAUCUGUGUGGGGAGAAAUGCCUUGGGACACUCAUUCAAUGGCCCCCAAUGCUCCUCAAUUCACCUGAGCUCCCAAAGCUGGAGCUGCUGUGAAAAUAAGGCAGAAGAAAGCCAAGAUGGAAACCCGUAACACUUCAUCUUCUUGCACCUGGAAAUCCUCGCAUUCUGGCCUUUGCACAGCCUGGAUGCAAACAUGGUGAGUGUGUCCAGGACUGGGUGGAAGUUGCUCUCAGCAGCAUGGCUGAGAAUAGAGAUCAUUCCCUGCACAAAAAAACAAGGGGCAGUUGGCGCAGGCCUGAACCCACUAGUGCGGCCAACCACAGUGGCUGGGCCAGUCCUUGCCUGAGGGAAACGGCAGCAAAGGCCCAGAGAUCAAAAGGCCCAGAGCAAGGCCAGGAGAAGCCCUCUGCCCCAGGGACAGAACAGGGACACUCACAGAAGCUGGAGGAGAGGAGAGCUCAUCUGGGCCUCAGAUGACACCUCUGCAUUUGCUUCCUCCAGGUGUGGCAGCAGCUUCUCUUGGAUGUGGAGGACACCCUUACAAGCUCCUAGCGCUGUCCCUAGAGCCUUGUACAGGAAAGACUGGAUGGGAAGGGAAGGAAUAAGCUGAGAUGUGGCAGCAGCCUGACCUGCUGGCAGAGGGCCAGGUGGGAAAGACCCACACUCCCUGGGAGUCACUGAGAGCAGGUGCAGGGCUGAGCUUUAGCCAGUCCCUGGGCAGUUUGCAGGGAAAGGCCCUCUGCGCUGCACAGACUGGGGAAGCAGCAUGAACAGCCUGUGUGGGCAGAGCACCAGCUGUAGCCCCAGCCCCAGUUGGACACCUGUGGCUGCACUGCUGGCUAGAGCUGAGGGGAACCCACCUUUUCUCCAGAGCUGCUGGGAGAGCUGCUCAGCCACUGGCUCAGCUCACAGCUCAGGGCCUUGGUCCAGGCCUCAUCCUCCAUGGUCUCCAGCAACGCCCUCAGGAACUGUUGUAGAACAGGAGAAGCCAAUGUUCCUUUGCCCUUUGCCUCUUCCCACAUUCCCAACUCACUGCAGCCUUUUGGGGAGAGGUGCCUGGAAGAACAGUCCCUCUCCCAGCUCCCCCCAGCAUUCCCUCCAUUAAAGUCACCUGCCACUCUUCUCCUAAGACCCCCAUGAGCUUGGGACAAAGAGGAAGAGGCAGCGCCACAAAGGCAUGUGGCCAUUCAGCAGCAGCAUUUGAGAGACUGUUCCUGUCCCGAAGUGGCCUGUAUGGGAGCGGGGCUCCUUGAGGCAGGCAAGUACUUAUCUGUACUGCACCUCCUGGCAAUGCUGUACCUUUAGCAGACAGCGCUCCCACUCUGCAGAGUCGGAAAGCUCUCAUAUUUCCCUGCACAGCAAUAGGAAGCAAAAGACCCUUACUUGGGAUCAAGCCACAAAAGAAGAGCUGCUGCAAACCAGGCUUGGCCUGGGCACUCAACACUGACAAGCUGGGACCCACAUCCCCUCCACAAUGACUUGUCCCUCCUCACAAACUCUGUCCCCGCAGGAACACAGAACUGCUCCAAGACUGCUGUCUGAGAGGAAGUGAAGGGCCUCUCUGUGGCCUGGAAUGGGCAGAUCCCCAGGGGGAGAGGUCCCCGGGCCUCAGUGCUGUCUCCCUGGAAUGGGAACAGCAGCAGAGCAAGCACUGGCCUGCAGGAAACACUUCCCCUCUGCCAUGCUACAGAGCUGCAUUUUCACUCCCCCCCUUCCCUGCCUCUGCCUCUCCCUCUCCACCAGCACUUUACCUUGGAGACACUGUAGCAGCAGGGGGAUCUCAGCAGCCCACAUGGCCCCCACAGCUCUGUGGAUCCUGCUGUGGAGGUUUUGCAUGAGCAGUAAGGCAGUGGCUUGGAGUUUGCGGUCUGCAACAGGGCUCCCUGCCACCACCUGAGUGAGAGCAAGGAGAAGGGUCACUUCUGCAGCAGGAGCAGCGGCUUCCCCCCAGGAGGGAAGCAGCUUGGCUCUGCCCUGGCGAGCAAGGAGCAGCCAACAGCUUUGCCCAUGGCCAUGUUGCUUCCUCCUCAGGGCUCACGGCACUGGCCUCUGGAGCAUCUACUCACCAACAGGCGUGCCAGCAGUGUCUGUGGUGUCAGCAGUGGGCCUGCGAGGAGAAAGAAGUGCUGAGUAAGACUCCAAGACACUCCAUGCCCUGCCACGCGCACCUCUGCUGUCCCUUCUGGGUGCUAACACAGGUCAGCAGAGCUCACUGGGGGAGUUUCUGCUCCUUCCUUGAAACAUGGAGUUGAGGAAAUGGGGAUCCAGAUCUUCUAUCUGCCACCCUGUCAGGUCCUCUCUCUUAGCCAGGGCUCGGACACAGCGGGAG